rnacentral:rRNA from 1 species
AGCAGCCGCGGUAAUUCCAGCUCCAAUAGCGUAUAUUAAAGUUGUUGCAGUUAAAAAGCUCGUAGUUGAAUUUCGGGGUUAGUAGGUUGGUCAUGCCUCUGGUAUGCACUGGCCUCACUGAUUCCUCCUUCCUGAUGAGCCGUAAUGCCAUUAAUUUGGUGUUGCGGGGAAUUUGGACUGUUACUUUGAAAAAAUUAGAGUGUUUAAAGCAAGCUAACGCUUGAAUACAUUAGCAUGGAAUAAUGAAAUAGGACGUUCGAUCCUAUUUUGUUGGUUUCUAGGAUUGACGUAAUGAUUAAUAGGGAUAGUUGGGGGCAUUAGUAUUCAAUUGUCAGAGGUGAAAUUCUUGGAUUUAUUGAAGACUAACUACUGCGAAAGCAUUUGCCAAGGAUGUUUUCAUUAAUCAAGAACGAAAGUUAGGGGAUCGAAGACGAUCAGAUACCGUCGUAGUCUUAACCAUAAACUAUGCCGACUAGGGAUCGGAUGAUGUUAAUUUUUUAAUGACUCAUUCGGCGCCUUACG